rnacentral:rRNA from 1 species
GACGAACGCUGGCGGCGUGCUUAACACAUGCAAGUCGAACGGAAAGGCCCUGCUUUUGUGGGGUGCUCGAGUGGCGAACGGGUGAGUAACACGUGAGUAACCUGCCCUUGACUUUGGGAUAACUUCAGGAAACUGGGGCUAAUACCGGAUAGGAGCUCCUGCUGCAUGGUGGGGGUUGGAAAGUUUCGGCGGUUGGGGAUGGACUCGCGGCUUAUCAGCUUGUUGGUGGGGUAGUGGCUUACCAAGGCUUUGACGGGUAGCCGGCCUGGGAGGGUGACCGGCCACAUUGGGCCUGAGGUAGGGCCCAGAAUCCUACGGGAGGCAGCAGUGGGGAAUAUUGCACAGUGGGCGGAAGCCUGAUGCAGCAACGCCGCGUGCGGGAUGACGGCCUUCGGGUUGUAAACCGCUUUCGCCUGUGACGAAGCGUGAGUGACGGUAAUGGGUAAAGAAGCACCGGCUAACUACGUG